rnacentral:rRNA from 1 species
UGGGGAAUUUUGGACAAUGGGCGCAAGCCUGAUCCAGCCAUGCCGCGUGCAGGAUGAAGGCCUUCGGGUUGUAAACUGCUUUUGUACGGAACGAAAAGGUGCCUUCUAAUAAAGGGCGCUCAUGACGGUACCGUAAGAAUAAGCACCGGCUAACUACGUGCCAGCAGCCGCGGUAAUACGUAGGGUGCGAGCGUUAAUCGGAAUUACUGGGCGUAAAGCGUGCGCAGGCGGUUUUGUAAGACAGAGGUGAAAUCCCCGGGCUCAACCUGGGAACUGCCUUUGAGACUGCAAGGCUGGAGUGCGGCAGAGGGGGAUGGAAUUCCGCGUGUAGCAGUGAAAUGCGUAGAUAUGCGGAGGAACACCGAUGGCGAAGGCAAUCCCCUGGGCCUGCACUGACGCUCAUGCACGAAAGCGUGG